UUGGGGAUUUAGCUCAGUGGUAGAGCAUUUGCCUAGCAAGCACAAGGCCCUGGGUUCGGUCCUCAGCUCCAAA
rnacentral:tRNA from 1 species